GCCUCGAGUCAGGAAGACUCACCUUCCAGAGUUCAAAUUCAGCCUCAGACACUUAUUGGUUGUGUGACUAUCUUCUGUGAGGGCUUGUGUAGACACUUUUACUUCCAAUUUGUCUUCCAGAAAGGAAGUCAUCUUCUACUAUCACCAUCCCUUGUUUCUCCAAGGCCUCCCUGGCGAAAAGCUUCCCAGUGAAUAAUGGGUGGUGUAUUGGCAGCAGCAUGGAGGAGCUAAUCUGUUUUAGAUAAUGGCAUCUUCUGGAUUGAUAGACCACUAAAUGUAGUUACUGAUAGAUAUGAAAAUCUGAAACAAUUGAUGCUAUCAUGCAAGUUGUAAUCUUCCUGGAAACAAGGAGACAUACAGAAAACAAAAGAGUUAAGUCUUCUAUUUGAAGUUUUCUACCAGGAAGGAGUUCAUAGACCAUUGGUUAAGAAUCCCUCCUCUGGAAGCUGACAGAAUUGUUCAAAUCUUUAUGAUUAGUCCUUGAAGAAAAAGAAGAAUGUCCAUCUGGGGAAUAGUGUGCAUUUAUUCCUGUCAGGAUAAGAAACAAAGUCAUUCUUCUCUUUGCUCACAAUGUCCAGAACAAAGAGGAAAAAGAACAUUU